rnacentral:rRNA from 1 species
GAGCGCCCCGCAAGGGGAGCGGCAGACGGGAGAGUAACACGUGGGAACGUGCCCUUUGGUUCGGAACAACACAGGGAAACUUGUGCUAAUACCGGAUAAGCCCUUACGGGGAAAGAUUUAUUGCCAAAGGAUCGGCCCGCGUCUGAUUAGCUUGUUGGUGAGGUAACGGCUCACCAAGGCUACGAUCAGUAGCUGGUCUGAGAGGAUGAUCAGCCUCACUGGGACUGAGACACGGCCCAGACUCCUACGGGAGGCAGCAGUGGGGAAUAUUGGACAAUGGGCGCAAGCCUGAUCCAGCCAUGCCGCGUGGAUGAUGAAGGCCUUAGGGUUGUAAAGUCCUUUCGGCGGGGAAGAUAAUGACGGUACCCGCAGAAGAAGCCCCGGCUAACUUCGUGCCAGCAGCCGCGGUAAUACGAAGGGGGCUAGCGUUGCUCGGAAUCACUGGGCGUAAAGCGCACGUAGGCGGCUUUUUAAGUCAGGGGUGAAAUCCUGGAGCUCAACUCCAGAACUGCCUUUGAUACUGAGAAGCUUGAGUCCGGGAGAGGUGAGUGGAACUGCGAGUGUAGAGGUGAAAUUCGUAGAUAUUCGCAAGAACACCAGUGGCGAAGGCGGCUCACUGGCCCGGUACUGACGCUGAGGUGCGAAAGCGUGUGGA